rnacentral:rRNA from 1 species
AACAUGUCCUAAUGAUUAAUUAGUAUUAGGUUUGACCUGCUCAAUGAAUAAUUUUAAAUAGCCGCAGUAUCUUGACUGUGCGAAGGUAGCAUAAUCAUUUGUCUUUUAAUUGAAGGCUGGAAUGAACGGUCGGAUGAAGGAAUAUCUUUCUUUAUAUUAAAUUAUUGAAUUUAAUUUUUUGGUUAAAAAGCUAAAAUUUUUAAAUGGGACGAGAAGACCCUAUAGAAUUUUAUUUUUAUUAGAAAUAUUAAUAUUUAUUGGUUAAUUAUAUAUUUAUUUUUAUUGAAAUUUUGUUGGGGAGACAUUGAGAUUAUUUUAACUCUCAUAUUUAUAUUAUUUAUGAAUAAUUAUAUUUAGGAUCUUAACUUUUUAGAUAUUUAGAUUAAAUUACCUUAGGGAUAACAGCGUAAUUUUUUUGGAGAGUUCUUAUCGAUAAAGGAGUUUGCGACCUCGAUGUUGGAUUAAAAUAAGAUUUAAGUGCAGAAGCUUAAUUUUCUAGGUCUGUUCGACCUUUAAUUUUUUACGUGAUCUGA